GAUGAACGCUGGCGGCGUGCUUAACACAUGCAAGUCGAACGGAAAGGCUCCUGCUUGCAGGGGUACUCGAGUGGCGAACGGGUGAGUAACACGUGGGUGAUCUGCCCAGCACUUCGGGAUAAGCCUGGGAAACUGGGUCUAAUACCGGAUAGGACGAUGGUUUGGAUGCCAUUGUGGAAAGUUUUUUCGGUGUGGGAUGAGCUCGCGGCCUAUCAGCUUGUUGGUGGGGUAAUGGCCUACCAAGGCGUCGACGGGUAGCCGGCCUGAGAGGGUGUACGGCCACAUUGGGACUGAGAUACGGCCCAGACUCCUACGGGAGGCAGCAGUGGGGAAUAUUGCACAAUGGGCGCAGGCCUGAUGCAGCGACGCCGCGUGGGGGAUGACGGCCUUCGGGUUGUAAACUCCUUUCGCUAGGGACGAAGCGCAAGUGACGGUACCUGGAGAAGAAGCACCGGCUAACUACGUG
rnacentral:rRNA from 1 species